UUUUAUUUGAGAGUUUGAUCCUGGCUCAGGAUGAACGCUGGCGGCGUGCCUAACACAUGCAAGUUGAGCGAUUUACUUCGGUAAAGAGCGGCGGACGGGUGAGUAACGCGUGGGUAACCUACCCUGUACACACGGAUAACAUACCGAAAGGUAUGCUAAUACGGGAUAAUAUAUUUGAGAGGCAUCUCUUAAAUAUCAAAGGUGAGCCAGUACAGGAUGGACCCGCGUCUGAUUAGCUAGUUGGUAAGGUAACGGCUUACCAAGGCGACGAUCAGUAGCCGACCUGAGAGGGUGAUCGGCCACAUUGGAACUGAGACACGGUCCAAACUCCUACGGGAGGCAGCAGUGGGGAAUAUUGCACAAUGGGCGAAAGCCUGAUGCAGCA
rnacentral:rRNA from 1 species